GACGAACGCUGGCGGCGUGCUUAACACAUGCAAGUCGAACGGAAAGGCCCUGCUUUUGUGGGGUGCUCGAGUGGCGAACGGGUGAGUAACACGUGAGUAACCUGCCCUUGACUUUGGGAUAACUUCAGGAAACUGGGGCUAAUACCGGAUAGGAGCGCCUGCUGCAUGGUGGGGGUAGGAAAGUUUCGGCGGUUGGGGAUGGACUCGCGGCUUAUCAGCUUGUUGGUGGGGUAGUGGCUUACCAAGGCUUUGACGGGUAGCCGGCCUGAGUGGGUGACCGGCCACAUUGGGACUGGGCUACGGCCCAGACUCCUACGGGAGGCAGCAGUGGGAAAUAUUGCACAAUGGGCGGAAGCCUGAUGCAGCAACGCCGCGUGCGGGAUGCCGGCCUUCGGGUUGUAAACCGCUUUCGCCUGUGACGAAGCGUGAGUGACGGUAAUGGGUAAAGAAGCACCGGCUAACUACGUG
rnacentral:rRNA from 1 species